rnacentral:rRNA from 1 species
UGGGGAAUAUUGCACAAUGGGCGCAAGCCUGAUGCAGCCAUGCCGCGUGUGUGAAGAAGGCCUUCGGGUUGUAAAGCACUUUCAGCGGGGAGGAAGGCGAUAAGGUUAAUAACCUUGUCGAUUGACGUUACCCGCAGAAGAAGCACCGGCUAACUCCGUGCCAGCAGCCGCGGUAAUACGGAGGGUGCAAGCGUUAAUCGGAAUUACUGGGCGUAAAGCGCACGCAGGCGGUCUGUCAAGUCGGAUGUGAAAUCCCCGGGCUCAACCUGGGAACUGCAUUCGAAACUGGCAGGCUAGAGUCUUGUAGAGGGGAGUAGAAUACCAGGUGUAGCGGUGAAAUGCGUAGAGAUCAGGAGGAAUACCGGUGGCGAAGGCGGCACCCUGGACAAAGACUGACGCUCAGGUGCGAAGGCGUGGGGAGCAAACAGG